GACGAACGCUGGCGGCAUGCCUAAUACAUGCAAGUUGAACGAUGAUAUUCUCUGCUUGCAGAGAAUUGAAGAGUAGCGAACGGGUGAGUAACACGUGGGGAACCUGCCCAUGAGAGGGGGAUAACAUUCGGAAACGGAUGCUAAUACCGCAUCAUGCUUUGGACCGCCUGGUCCAGAGACGAAAGACGGCUUUUGCUGUCACUCAUGGAUGGCCCCGCGCCGUAUUAGCUAGUUGGUGAGGUAAUGGCUCACCAAAGCUGUGAUACGUAGUCGACCUGAGAGGAUGAUCAGCCACACUGGGACUGAGACACGGCCCAGACUCCUACGGGAGGCAGCAGUAGGGAAUCUUCCACAAUGGGCGAAAGCCUGAUGGAGCAAUGCCGCGUGAAUGAAGAAGGUCUUCGGAUCGUAAAGUUCUGUUAUUAGAGAAGAACAAGUCAAGGAGUAACUGUCUUGACUUUGACGGUACCUAACCAGAAAGUCACGGCUAACUACGUG
rnacentral:rRNA from 1 species